CCUACGGGAGGCAGCAGUGGGGAAUAUUGCACAAUGGGGGAAACCCUGAUGCAGCGACGCCGCGUGAGUGAAGAAGUAUUUCGGUAUGUAAAGCUCUAUCAGCAGGGAAGAAAAAGACGGUACCUGAUUAAGAAGCCACGGCGAACUACGGGCCAGCAGCCGCGGUAAUACGUAGGGGGCAAGCGUUAUCCGGAUUUACUGGGUGUAAAGGGAGCGUAGACGGCAGCACAAGUCUGGAGUGAAAUGCCGGGGCUUAACCCCGGACCUGCUUUGGAAACUGUGCAGCUAGAGUGCAGGAGAGUUAAGUGGCAUUCCUAGUGUAGCGGUUAUAUUCGUAGAUAUUAGGAGGAACACCAGUUGCGCAGGCGGCUUACUGGACUGUACCUGCCGUUGAGGCUCG
rnacentral:rRNA from 1 species